rnacentral:rRNA from 1 species
UUGGAGGGCAAGUCUGGUGCCAGCAGCCGCGGUAAUUCCAGCUCCAAUAGCGUAUAUUAAAGUUGUUGCAGUUAAAAAGCUCGUAGUUGAAUUUCGGGAUCAAUGUUUCGGUCAUGCCGUUGGUAUGUACUGAUAUUAUUGAUUUCUCACCUUCUAAAGAACCGUAAUGCCAUUAAUUUGGUGUCACGGGGAAUUAGGACUGUUACCUUGAAAAAAUUAGAGUGUUUAAAGCAGGCUCACGCUUGAAUACAUUAGCAUGGAAUAAUGAAAUAGGACAUCCGAUUCUAUUUUGUUGGUUUCUAUGAUCGAUGUAAUGAUUAAUAGGGAUAGUUGGGGGCAUUAGUAUUCAAUUGUCAGAGGUGAGAUUCUUGGAUUUAUUGAAGACUAACUACUGCGAAAGCAUUUGCCAAGGAUGUUUUCAUUAAUCAAGAACGAAAGUUAGGGGAUCGAAGACGAUCAGAUACCGUCGUAGUCUUAACCAUAAACUAUGCCGACUAGGGAUCGGGCGAUGUUCUUUUUCUGACUCGCUCGGCACCUUACGGGAAACCAAAGUGUUUGGGUUC